rnacentral:lncRNA from 1 species
CAGAGGCCCCUUCGUGGCCAGGGCGGCUGAUUCCCAGCGGUUCCCAGCACGGGGCAGAGGAGGAGGGCGUUGCGGGGUGGAGGCGAGAUCCGGAAGUAGGCCUCUAUCAUUGCACACUCUGACAAGCCUCUUCAUUGGAACUGAACCUGAUUUUUUUUUUACGACGCCUGCCCUAGUUUCAGAUUUUUUUUACACUUGAUCUUAGAAGACUGAGAAGCGAUAGUUCCAAAUCUUUUAAUAAACAGACAUGCUCAUUAAUGAGGUGCUGGACACAUUACAGCCCUACUGAGAACCAGGCAGAGAGGGAACCCAGAAAGUCCAGACGGGUUGCUGAUUAGCACACGAUUCAGAUCCUGUACACGUGUCCCAGGCUACCAGACUCCCUCCCUUCCCCUGCCAACCAGGAACCAGCCUGACUACAAUUACUUACUAUGGAAUGCCCAUCAGUCACAUGGUAUAGAGCCAGCUCCCUCCUCUGAAAUGUAUAAGAAGGGACAUUAUUGUGCCACAUGGGCCUACACUCCCUUCAGGGUACCCACAGUUGUCUUUCAGUCAAUCAAAAUUGUCAACUCGAUUAAUAAAUCUUUGAC